GAAAUGCGAUAAGUAAUGUGAAUUGCAGAAUUCAGUGAAUCAUCGAAUCUUUGAACGCACAUUGCGCCCCCUGGUAUUCCGGGGGGCAUACCUGUUCGAGCGUCAUUUCACCACUCAAGCCUCGCUUGGUAUUGGGCAACGCGGUCCGCCGCGUGCCUCAAAUCGACCGGCUGGGUCUUCUGUCCCCUAAGCGUUGUGGAAACUAUUCGCUAAAGGGUGCUCGGGAGGCUACGCCGUAAAACAACCCCAUUUCUAAGGUUGACCUCGGAUCAGGUAGGGAUACCCGCUGAACUUAAGC
rnacentral:misc_RNA from 1 species